AUUGAACGCUGGCGGCAGGCCUAACACAUGCAAGUCGAGCGGCAGCACUUCGGGUGGCGAGCGGCGAACGGGUGAGUAAUACAUGGGAAUCUGCCCAGUAGUGGGGGAUAACUUCGGGAAACUGGAGGUAAUACCGCAUACGUCCUACGGGAGAAAGCAGGGGAUCGCAAGACCUUGCGCUAUUGGAGGAGCCCAUGUCCGAUUAGCUAGUUGGUGAGGUAAAGGCUCACCAAGGCAACGAUCGGUAACUGGUCUGAGAGGAUGGUCAGUCACACUGGAGCUGAGACACGGUCCAGACUCCUACGGGAGGCAGCAGUGGGGAAUAUUGGACAAUGGGGGCAACCCUGAUCCAGCCAUGCCGCGUGUGUGAAGAAGGCCUUCGGGUUGUAAAGCACUUUAAGCAGGGAGGAAGGCUCGUACGUUAAUACCGUGCGGGAGUGACGUUACCUGCAGAAUAAGCACCGGCAAACUCCGUGCCAGCCGCCGCCGUAA
rnacentral:rRNA from 1 species